rnacentral:lncRNA from 1 species
UAUCAUUAUUGAUUAUUGCAGUGGCUGAGCAGCUGCAGCCAAGGGACAGAGCCCCUCGGUGCACGUUAUGCCGGGGGACAGCCCUCACCCUCUCAGACACCUCCUUCCACUUCUCACUCUCAACUGGACACAAACGCGGCCCUGGAAUUGCGGGAAUUGCAGGAAUUGCGGGUUUGUGCUGGGCCAUGGCAGGGCUGCUGGCAGACUUCAUGUAGCACCAGGCAGCGCAGUCUGAGGAUGAGAAAAUCAAGACAUCAGCUGAGCAGACAUGCUUCACUUAGUGGGGACUGUACAACCAUUAGAUGCUCAUCCCACAAAGAGCAGCCUGGCACACGCGGUGGCACCCAUGGGGCUAAAUGGGAUUUACCAUCUGUGUCCCCCCAUCUCAUUGUCCCCGGACGCCCCUGUGCCACCAGCUGGCCAUUGCCCCCCUGGGCUAGCCGGUGUGGCCACAGGUCGGAGGCUGCGGAGGCCCCAGAGGCCACCAGGAGCCUGGGCUGGCAAAGCACAACUUGGCUUCGCUUUGGUUUAUCUGCGUCUUGUGUCUGAUCUGGAGCGCGAUUCAUAAGAACGCAGUUAACACGCGGCUGACAUAUCUCUGAUACGACGAUCAUAGCGAGGAAGCAGCUUGACCCCCGAAGGCUCCUGCGAACAGCGGGAUUGACACUUCACAUUGACUUUGCUUCAGGCUUAUCAACAAAUCUCAGCCAAUUUUAUUAAAGAGCGGCGUGUGGUGUGUGGGACGCGCCAGGCUCAGACAACUUCAUCUCGUGCAGCUCAGAAACCAGGCGAGGGCUUGGCUCCUUCGCUUCUCCUUCGUGUCUUCACUUGGCAAAUUUAACUUCACAGCAGCUCCUCGUGGGGUGAGUAAAGGCUGGAGAGCGGUGACGGCCUGCAGUGUUUCCUGGCCCUUUCAUGAAGGGCAGGGGCAGAGCAGGCAGGGGCAGGCUGGGGACACUGGGGGUCAUCGUGCGAUGGCACGAGCAGUGACCGAGACGGGUGAGCGCAGCAUCGUGUCCCCGCAGUGCCCGGGCAGCAAACGGCCGUGGAGGCAACAGGGAGGACACACCACGUGGGCAGCGCUGACUUCUCUAAACUGGUGUACCUGGUUUAGGCUCCAUUUUUCAGCGCCAUUUAAUGUGUGUGUUGUAUUUUUAGCACCAAAAGAGGCCUGGGCAGGGUCUCCCAGGACGAGAAUGAGGGCAGCAAGCAGCCAGCAGGAUCCACUGCUCUGAGGCAUCAUUUGGUAAUUAUGUCUCUUUUUACUCAUGCAAAUUUUAUCAAUAUUAUUUAUAUAUUCAAAGCCAU